rnacentral:misc_RNA from 1 species
AAAAUGCGAUACUUGGUGUGAAUUGCAGAAUCCCGUGAACCAUCGAGUUUUUGAACGCACGUUGCGCCCGAAGCCAUCCGGCUGAGGGCACGCCUGCCUGGGCGUCACGCAUCGCGUCGCUCCCCACCAUACCUCCCCAACGGGUUGGCAUGGUGUUGGGGGCGGAUAAUGGCCUCCCGUGCUUGUGUUUCGGUUGGCCUAAAUAAGAGUUCCCUUCGGCGGACACACGACUAGUGGUGGUUGAAUAGACCCUCGUCUUUUGUUGCGUGUCGUGAGCUGUAAGGGUAGCCCUCAUCAAAGACCCCAUUGUAUCGUCUGCGGAUGAUGCUUCGACCGCGACCCCAGGUCAGGCGGGACUACCCGCUGAACUUAAGC